UAUUACCUAGUCUUAGCUUGCAGAGUAAAAAUGUGAAGGGGAAAAUAUUUUAAGAAGCUCUGUGGGGUUGCUUUUUUUUGUUUGUUUCUUGCACUGGUGGCAUAUGGAGGUUCCCAGGCUAGGGGUCCAAUCGGAGCUACAGCCGCUGGCCUACACCACAGCCACAGCAACACGGGAUCUGAGCCGCGUCUGCGACCUACACCACAGCUCACAGCAACGCCGGAUCCUUAACCUGCUCAGCGAGGCCAGGGAUCAAACCCACAACCUCCUGGUUCCUAGUCAGAUUCUGUAACCAAAGCUACCCUUGGUAGCCGAAUAAUGCCACCCCUACCCAGGUUGUGCCGAUCCUUACCCUGAGAGCCCGUGAGUGUGGUGGGUCCCACGGCACAGGGCAAUGAGAAGUACAACUGGAAUGCAGUUUGCUGGCCUAAGCGCACAAAAAAGAAGUCGUGCUGGGUUGCACAGGUAGCCCCAAGCUGCAGGGGAGUCCUUUAAAUGGAGAGGAGGGUUUCAGGACAGCCAGGGUCACAGCAAGGGGACGUGGGAAAGACUCGCCGUGGCUGGCGUGGACAGAGGAAGAAGGAGCCAGGAGCCAAGCCGCGCAGGUGGCCUGGAGAAAUGGAAAAGGCAACUUGAAACAAAAACCAACCCAAAGGCGUUCUCUCCCCUGGAGCCUCCAGAAAAUAAGGUGUCCCUGCAGACAAUUUUGAUCCAGGCAGACCUGUGAUCCACAGGCUGCGAGAUCAUAAAUGGAGGUCGGGUUAAGCCACUGUGUUUGCAGUCGUGUGUUGCACUCACAGAAGCCCGAGGAACGGAAUCCAGCCUCCUGCUUGCCGAAGACGAGCUCCCCCCGUCCGUAUCCAUCCCACCGCAGAAGCACACCGAGCAAUCCCUCUGAGGGAGAGUCCCGGGCAUCAUGCAGCUUACACUGCCAUCCAGCGUGGUCCCCACAGCAUCGCAAAUGACAAGCUGCCGAACCGAGCUGCCUGGAGGCAGGACACCUGUCACACGGGGCGGGAUUGGGGGUGGGGGGCUGCUCAUGCUCUGCGCUGCUCAAAGGGCCUGGCUCACUCGGGCCAGGAGGGCCUCACUCUCCUCUGCGUCUGGCUCCAGCAUCCUGCGGCCCCCACGGGGCCAGGUUCCGUGUCCGACGGCUGUGCCGCCUACUGCCUGAUGAGGACUCUGUUCUGAAAACCUGCACUCUCCCUCGAGAAUCCAAGCGCGCCUUUCAGCAGGGGCUUCAGGCAUGCAGGACCAAAAGCAAGGAGCAGAGGCGUGCCCAUUGUGGCUCAGCGGCAGCAAACCCGACUAGUAUCCAGGAGGAUGCAGGUUCGAUCUCUGGCCCUGCUCUGUGGGUUAAGGAUGCUGUGUUGCCAUGAGCUGUGGUGUAGGUUGCAGAUCCUGCAUUGCUGUGGCUGUGGUGCAGGCCUGCGGCUGCAGCUCCCUAGGCUGGGAACGUCCCUAGGCCGUGGAUAUGCCCCCUAAGAAGGGGAACAAACAAACAGAGAGUGAGGAGGGAGCUCAAUGUGGGAACUGGGAUUCUCAGGAUAAACCCACCCGUACCUGAAACUAGGACCAGACUCGCCCUCUGCUUCCGAGCCCCGGGUUGCACAGGCCCGGGUCGGGGUGGGGUGUCAGCGCACGGGGUCCUUCCUCUGCUGAGAGUCAGUGGUGAACGCCCUGACUCACCCACCCGGGCAGAGCAAGCUGUGCGAGAUGCUCACCACACUGCAGACACAGAGAAGACCCGCCCGGGGCCUCUCUUCAAGUCCUCGGGGCUCCACGCGAUGAGCAUCCUUCUGUUCCUGCUCAGCAGGCACCACUCCCGGCCUUCUAACCGCUUCGGGAAGCUCUCGGAGAGACGGCGACCCGCGCUGCUGAGGACGUGGAGAAGCCAAAACCCUCUGACGUUUGGGGCAGGAGCGGACAACAACACAGCCCCUCUGGAAAACUGUCUUACGGUUCCUCAGAAAGAGAAACCCGGAGCUACAGACGGCCCAGCAGUGCCACCCAAGGGACGUGAAACCGCGUGUCUACACAAAACCUGCACACAGGGAGUUCCCGUCGUGGCGCAGGGGAAACCAAUCCGACUGGGAACCAUGAGGUUGCGGGUUCGAUCCCUGGCCUUGCUCCGUGGGUUAAGGAUCCAGCGUUGCCGUGAGCAGUGGGGGAGGUCACAGACGCGGCUUGGAUCUGGCGUGGCUGUGGCUGUGGCUGUGGUGCAGGCCGGUGGCGACAGCGCCGAUUCGACCCCUAGCCUGGGAACCUCCAUGUGCUGUGGGUGCGGCCUUCAAAAGAAAGACAAAACCAAACCAAAUCCUGUCGACAAAUGUUCACAGCAGCAUCUUCCUAAAAGCCCCAACGGGGGAACAGCCCACCUGCCCAGCAACAUACGGAGGACGGGCGAAGCCAUACGCCCACAACAUCAUCAUUCAGAAAGAGGGAAGUGUCGGUCGAGGCUACUCCAUGGAUGGGCCAUGCAUGAAAGCAUGACACUAACCCAAAGGGGUCAGCCCGCCAAAGACACAUACUGUGUGAUGCCAUGAAUCUGAAAUGUCCAGAACAGGCAAAUCCACAGAGACACAGAACAGAUCCGUGGCUAUCACGGGCGUCCCGGGGAGGGGAGGACGGCCAGCAAGCACAAGCGCUUUUUUGGGGCGAUACAGCUUCUAAAACGGUCUUGUAGACAUGUCCGCACAACCCUGUAAAUUUACUUAAAAAAAAAAAAAAAAUCACUGAAUUGUAUUGUCUGUUUUCAACAGGAGAAUUUUGGUAUGUCAAUUAUGCCUCAAUAAAGCUAUUUUGUUGAAAGCCUCUUGGAGAUCCUUAAAGCAAAGAUUAUCCAGGUGUAUGUGCAUAAAUGUUCAACAAAAUAGUUACGCUGUUAUCAUAUAAUCAAAAAUCUAUAGACAGACUCCGAUUUUUUUUUAAAAAAGUGAAACCUCUUCAUUUGUUGAUACAAAGGAUUUGAAUAAGUGCACUGCCUCUCAUGUCAAAGACAUGAUUGCAUAAUUUAAGUUGGUAAGAGGCCUAUGGAGAAGCUUUCUCAUUCAAAUUACACCUGAACAAUACAUGUUAUUGCACCAAGACAUAUUUAGACAUAUCAUGAUUUUCAACUGGUUGGAGAUGAAAACUGAAAUAUGGAAAACAUUUGUUUUAGUCACAACAGAAUCCAGAAGAUGAAGCUCACCAGAAUAUCUGCUUAUUAGGACUCAAGAAUCCUAACACCUGAAGCCUUGGCUUAAGUGGAUUUUAAAGUCAAUAUAAAUGGAUUAAGAAAUUUAAUUUUCUGUUGGCAUACAUGACAAAAGCUUCCAGAAUGACAGUGAAGUAUCGUUUUAAAAACUGCCCAGGAGCCAAUGUAGAGCUUUUCCCAGGCGGCAUAAAGUUCAGCGCUUCACAGAGAAGACAUACGGAACUCAUGGACUUUCAGCCUUUUUUUUUUAGGGCCACACCCAUGGCCUGUGGAGGUUCCCAGACUAGGGGUCGAAUCUGAGCUGCAGCCACCAGACUACAUCACAGCUACAGCAACGCUGGAUCCUUAACCUGCUGUGCAAGGCCGCGGAUUGAACCCGAGUCCUCAUGGACACUAGUCGGGUUUGUUACCACUGAGCCAUGACGGGAAGUCUACUUCCAGCUCAUUUUUGUGAAAAUGCCCUUCUUCUAUUUUGGACUGAACCAUCAUAACAGAAUCAGAAUUUUGUCAGGCUCUUAUGCUCCCAGGUUCUGCAAGGGAUCACAGCCCAAGGUGGUGACUCCUGGCAACGCAUAUCCCAGGGGCUCAACUAGGAUCCGUGAAACCGACAACCCACCCGGGCUGUAGGUCUCACCGCAACGGGGAGGAAGCAGGUGGAGACACAAGUCCCGGGCUCUGACCUUCACCCAGUCCCCAGCUGAGCCUCCCCUUGUCCCUGCAAAUGCAGCUCCUGACCUCAGCGCCUGGCCCGUGCCAUCCCCCGCCCGGGUUCCCCAAUGCUGCCGGAGCGGACGACCACAGACUCGGCUGCUCUCAUGUCUCCCGCUGUGGUUCCGGAAGUCAGGCGUCGACAACGGGUCCCAGGGCUGUGCUCCCCCAGGCUCCAGGGCAGAAUCAGGUCCUGACCUUGCCCAGUUUCUGAGCCUCACUCCGACCCCUGUUUCGCCUCCUCUCCCCCUCUGACCGCCUCCUCCUCUGUGGUGGCUCUGGACUCGAGCGGGCCACCUCGCUGCCUCAAGGUCCUGGCCUCACACCCCCAAGUCCCUUCUGCCCCGAGGUCGUCGUGCACAGGCUCUAGGAUCAGGCCCGGACACCUUCCGAGGGCCAUCACUCUGCUACCACGAGUAUGGCAGACGAGGCUGAGAAAAGUGAAUUGAAUCUGGUCUGUGAGACAUGACAGGAGGGUGACGCGGUGGUGGCAGGGCCAGAGCUGGAAACAGUGCUGUGCAUUUUGACAGCCUUGACCAGUGGUGGCGGCAGCUCUUGGCAGUAGGCAAAUCCAUGCACUUCCACCAGUCUUUGGACCCUGAGCUCAAGAGGCCUCUGGCCUCCACCUCCCGCGCACAGGAACUGUGGUCUAGGGGCCGGCAGGCAGGCCCGGGCUCCGCCUUGGAAAUGUCACAGUUCCUGCUGGAGUGACAGAAGCCCCAGAAGACAGGGCCAGCCUGCCAGCUCCCGCUCCCGGGGGCCUGACCUCAGAAAGCACACGCUUCCUGAGCUCUGACCCUGACCUCCUCCGAUUACCCCCAAAUCACAGGCAAAUCGCCUGAGGCCGGAUGCUUCUCGCAAGAUCACAGAGCCGGAGGCGGGGGGGGGGGGGGGGGGGCAGUGGAGCCCUCGACCCAGCCCUCUCCCUCUGCAUGCAAAGGCCACGCCGUGCGGCCGGCUCCCUUCCUCGGCCCCAAACGCCUCUGUCUCUUUUUCCUAAAACACCCAAACCGGAAGGUAUGACCUCAAAGCCAAGAGAAAUACAAGCAGGAGGUCAAGAGCCCCAAAGGGAGGCCCCACUGAGGACCGUGGGCCAGCUGGGCCUCGUUCUACACGACAGCAGCCCGGCCCUCCCCGGGCCCACAGCCUCAUCUCCGCCCUCAUCCCUCCCGGCACUCGGCAGGUCCCUCCCGGCGCCUGGCACCACCACCCCUUCAUCCCAGCUCUGCCCCCUGCAACGGGAGCCACCAGCACCUGGCCCGCCUCUCUGCAGGGCAGAGGUUCUCGAGGGGAGCGACUCUGCUCAUUCCCUAGACGGCAGGCCAGCUGAGCUCCUGCCACAGCAGGG
rnacentral:lncRNA from 1 species